rnacentral:lncRNA from 1 species
UUUAGUUUAUCCAAUUUCAUGGUGCCAUGCAACCCAAAUGGACCAUGCCGGGUCGGGUCAAGUACAUACCAGAAAUAGUUAUGGACUUAGACACCUUAUCCAACAACUAUGACACAAACGGCCUCGUAAUACAACGUUCUUCAGGCGUUGCAAGUUAAAUGACACUUGUAACCUCAGACCUGCCGGUCUAGCUGUUGCAUGCAGCUCGGGUGUGGGUUUGUUCGACCCAAUAUAGAUCUAUACACAACUAUCACGUUCUCCCUACAAGAGACUCUGGUUACAAUUUACAGGACUUUUGAUUUUGUUAUAUGGAUGUAACACAAAUCGAGUGUCUCAAAAAUUUAUUCAUUAACAGAUUUACGUGAACUGAGAACCUUUGGUAAAGAGUUUGAUAUGUAAUGAAACAUAAACUAUACCUAGUAUAGUUUAUUAUAAUCGUUUAUAAUGUAACAACAAGAUAAAAUAUACUUCGAUAGUUUAUCAAAUAUUUGCAUGCCAUGGUUGUAAACUUUGUUUAUAACAUUAAAGUAAUUUACCAUUCUUGAGAAGGUAAAAAUCUAUUUUUCUACUGAUACAUGUCUAAUUACCAAGACAAAAUAGCAUAUAAUGUAAUAAUAUAUGAUCACAUAAUGAUAUACACCUUGAUCAACAAAUUACAAGGUGGAAUGAAAUUGAUAGCAUUUUUCUGUUGUUAAAAUUUUCUAUUGCUGUUCUUAGAAAAUUUAUUGAAAAAUUAUCAAAGGUCCAAAUCAAAAUCCGUAAAUUCUGGCAGUUUGGAAAAUGAGUCUAGUUUGUUCAUAAUUUUUAUUAUGAUUUUUAGUGACCUCAAACUUGUGUGAAAAAAGUCCAUAAUCACAUACUGGUCCAGAUUCGUUCUUGAAAUGAUAGACAGUUUUGUAAAAAUCACCAUAUAUUGUAGAAAAAUAGUAUGGAGAUGUGCAAGUAGUCAUUUUAAAUUUAAGAACUUGAACUAUUUUCACCUAGUAUAGUUUUGAAAACUAAAAUGUUUAAGUUGCCCAAAACUGUCCGUGAAUGGAGUCCAACUUUUCUGAUGAAAGCUGUUGGAAGAGUUUAGUUGUUUUCUUGUUGUUCUAACUUGUAUUCUCCCCUUAAAAAUUAAGAAAACAUGGAAAGAUAGGGGUAUGAACUCACCUUAUUUGAUUUCAGUGGAUGGAUAUUGAAGAAGAGAAGUGUUCAACUCAAGAACACUUAGAAGAUACCUUGAAGAACCGAGAACCUAACAUGAAGGUGACGAUGUUUGUGUAAGGUUCUUAUGAUUUUGAGUAGAAGGGUGUGUAAUAAUCAUAAGAUGAAUGAAUUAUAUUUACCAAGAGUGGAAGAAAGUUUGAUGAUCAGCCUUGGAAGUCUCGAAAUUUGGAGAGAAUUGUGAGUGAAUUUGGAGUGUGAUCCUUGGAGGAAAAAUGAGAGAAUGAGGGAAGUGUGAGGUGAGAGAGGGGGUUGUCCAGCUCUUAGGACAUCAUUAUGGCUGAGAAAUGAGUGGGAAAAGUACUCUUGAAUGACCAGGUAUGGUGGGGAGGGGUCUGGGUUAGUCAUGGAGUGGGUAUGGGGGUGGUUGCUUGUGUUUAACACUAUGGGAAAGUCAACACUCUACCACAAGAUCUUACUUAAUGGAUUUUUUUCUUAAAUAAGGAUUUCCUUAAAAAUAUGUUGAAUUUAUGAAUACAUGGGACCUUAUAUGUCAAAAUAUUAGUUUGGGUGAAAAUCCCCCUUUAAAAUAAUAAAAAAAUGGGCUUAAAACGGAGUCGUGGUCGAAAACCGGGUGAAAAGUGGAAAAUCCGAAGUCAACAGGGUGACUCCGGUCUUAACAGCCUUAGGUCCGAAGUGGGUUUUGGUCGCUGAAGUGGAUACGAAGGGUAACGGACUACGGUCCGAGCAGGUACCGCAGGUGGGUUUGUCAGGAGGGUCCGAAGAGAAGGUUGGUUGCGGUGUGAGGUUCCAGGUUCGGUUCCGCUGCAGUCUUCAGCAGCCUCGACCUCGCAGCUCCAGUCCUUAACCAUUGCAGGCCGAAGGCUGCGGUUCCUUAAGGGGCUGCGGUCAGAUGGUUGCGGCUACUCAAGGAGACUCCGAUUUUGCUUCUUGGGACCUCGGUUCAAGGAGGGUUUGGCCCCUAUAAAGAGGCUUCGGCUCUAAAAGGCUAUUUUCCAAGAUAUCACCCCUUUUCGAGUGGUUUUUCACCAAGUCAAGUGUCGGGAUGCCCCAAAUGAUUAUAAAACUCAAAAGACGUUUUGAGACAGACUUGGGAGACAUUUCACAUACUUGGAGAGAUUUCACAUACGGAGAGAGAUUUGGGAGAGAUUCCACAUUCUUGGAGAGAUUUGGGAGAGAUUUGACAUACUUGGAGAGAUUUCACAUACGGAGAGAGAUUUGGGAGAGAUUCCACAUUCUUGGAGAGAUUUGGGAGAGAUUUGACAUACUUGGAGAGAUUUCACAUACAGAGAGAGAUUUGGGAGAGAUUUUUAAUAUAGAGAGAUAGAGUGAAAGGGAUUUAUAGAGACUUCUUUGUGACCUUUUUGAGUGUUUGGCUUCGCAUCGCAAGGUCCGCAAGCCCCGUUAAGCCAUGUUUAAGGAUCUUACACACUCCCGAUGAGUAUGCAACAUUGUUUUAUCGGUUUGGUUCAUUACUUGCCACAGUUCUAGGUUAUGAAAUCUAGAUAUACAAACUUUUCAGUUGAUGAUUUCUUAUUAGAAUAGCGAGUUAUAUUGUAAUUACAUAGCGUAAACCCUAGUAUACAAGGGUUAACUGAGUUGACCGGUUUGACUGGUUGACUUUGACUUGACCAGAAUUUGACGGUUGUCACAUCAUCCCCUCGUUAGAGGGAAUUUCGUCCCAAAAUUUGCAUUUUAGCUGGGACUUCAAGAGUUCGGGAAGAGAUGUGGGUAUUUUUAUUUCAUUUGAUCCUCGCGUUCCCAGAUGAACUCGGGUCCUCGUUUUGCAUUCCAUAAAAACCUUCACAAUGGCAAUACGACUUUGCUUUGUUCUUUUGAUUUCCCGAUCCAUGAUCUCAACCGAUUCUUCCACGAAGUGGAGAUUCUCGUUAAAUUUGAUUUCCUCAAGUGGUAUUACGAGGGUCUCGUCGGAUAGGCACUUUUUCAUGUUUGAUACGUGGAAGGUAGGGUGUAGUUAUUAAGUUCUUGUGGUAGUCGGAGUUUGUACGCCACGAGACCAAUCUUGACAAGGAUUUCAAACGGAACGAUGUACCUUGGGUUUAGUUUCCCACGUUUACCGAAACGUAUCAUUCCAUUCCAAGGGGAAACUUUCAAUAGUACCCGAUCACCGACCUGGAAUUCCAAGGGUUUGAGUCAUUUAUCCGCGUAACUCUUUUGCCGAUCUCGGGAUGCUUUCAGUCUUUCCCGAAUUUGAACAAUCUUUUAUGUGGUGUCCCUUAUGAUUUUAGGACCAGUGAGGGUGCUAUUAGGGACUUGCCCCCUAGCUAGCUGAGUGUCCCCCACUUCUGCCCAACAUAGGGGUGAUCGGCACUUGUGACCAUAAAGAGCUUCGAAUAGGGCGACUUUGAUGGUAGUGUGAUAGCUGUUACUGUAGGAGAAUUCGAUAAGUGGUAAAUGGGUAUCCCUUGCAUUACCAAAAUCUAUCACAUAGGCUCUCAACAUGUCUUCAAGCUUUUGUAUGGUUCGCUCGCUCUGUCCAUCGGUUUGUGGGUGAUAAGUUGUACUCAUGUCCAACCUAGUGAUGGGUUUUUAGCAUUCUAACACUUCCUAAGUGUACAUGCAAACCUAAUAACCUUGGAUCUAUGUUCGUCUAAUUAUCAUCCAAAGUUGAUUUCCAAGUCUAUGAUCCUAUCUAGUAUACAUGGGGAACAAUUUAACUUGAAUAAUAGAUAGAACUACAUACCUUGUUGUUGAUAGUGUUCCUUGAAACCUUGUGAGCCUAGCACCUCAAGUGUGAUGCCUCAAAUGCUUCACACAACACCAAAUGCAAAGUAUAAACUUGAGAGAAUACUCUAACACACUCAAAAUCGUCCAAGCCCUCUUCUUUCACUUGUGUAGCCGAUUUUGGGGAGAGACAUGGUCUUUAUAUAGUGUGUUGCAUUAGGUAAAACCCUAAUGUAACAUGACUCUUCAUGUCUCAAUCCAUGGGUUAACUCCAUGGAGCAUCCAUGGAACAUCCUAUGGGUGGAGCCCAACUUGAUAAUCCAUGGAGGCUUUUAGCCCACUAUAUAAGAUAUGGAAGAUUUACAUAAUCUACCCAUAUAUUUAAUUAGUUAUCCUUUUGAUUACUUAAUUAAUUCAAAAUUAAUUCUUGAUCAAAAGUAAUUAAAUAAUAUUAUUAAUAUAUUAGAACUUAUAAUAUAUUAAUAAACCAUAUGUGUUAUUUCUCUCAUUUAGUUUAUCCAAUUGCAUGGUGCCAUGCAACCCAAAUGGACCAUGCCGGGUCGGGUCAAGUAUUUACCAUAAAUAGUUAUGGACUUAGACACCUUAUCCAACAGUCUCCCACUUGGAUAAGUCUAAUAACUAUAACUGCAGUACUUCAGGAACCGAUCGGCAAUCGUAGCUCUUUCAAGGUCUCUCGGAACUGAGAAGAUGUUGAUACACCAUUUA